rnacentral:ncRNA from 1 species
GUUCCAUGUGAACAACACUUGGACAUGGGUUAGUCGAUCCUAAGAGAUGGGGAAGCCCUGUAUCAAGGGUGCACUAUGCACGAACAUCGAAAGGGAAUCGGGUUAAUAUUCCUAAACCGGGACAUGGCGGCGGACGACAAUGUUAGGAAAUCCAGAGACGUCGUCGGGGGCCCCAGGAAGAGUUAUAUUUUCUUUUUAACAGCUUGCCCACCCUAAAAUCAGCUCAACCGGAGAUAGGGUCCAGCAGCUGGAAGAGAAUCGCACGUCUUGCGGUGUCCGGUGCGCCCUCGGCGGCCCUUGAAAAUCAGGACGACCGAGUACCGUCCAUGCCCGGUCGUACUCAUAACCGCAUCAGGUCUCCAAGGUGAACAACCUCUGGUCAAUAGAAUAAUGUAGGUAAGGGAAGUCGGCAAAACGGAUCCGUAACUU